UCAUUUAACACAGCCUUUAUUUUUUAUUUCAAAACAAAAUUCCAGGAAACAAAAAUUUAACAACAGUUGGGUAGUGAUUAAAAUAAAAAUCACAGUUUCGACGAAUCAAAACCAGACAACUGCUGAAAGGUAGAUCACUUGGCUUACCAAAACAAAAGUUAAUGUUAAAAAGGUUAAAAUUAAGUUUAACAGCAUUCUAUAUAAUGCUACAUUCCCGAAUUAAGAAAGGAGAGUUCACAUAUAUAACUAAAUGUUAAGUAUUGAGAAUUGGCUGAAAUCUACAUAUUUCAUGGUAAAUUAUGCAUGAAAGUUUAAUUGCAUAAACUUCCUGAGUGGCUCCCAUGCUGCACUAGGUCUACAUGCUUAAUAUUCGCAGUAAACACAUUAUAGCUUUAAGUGAUUGAGCAUGACAGACCUUCAACUGCACGUUCUGACCAGUCAUUAUAUCCACUCUAUCUGCUGAGGGGUCUAGACUACAAAUCGCAACCUUAAAUCUUAAAUUAUAGUGGAAAGAAACACAAGGUCAAAAAGCUAGAAGGGUGCCAAGUGUGCAUUUCCAAGCAUUGUCCCUUCAGAGCAUAGUCUUCCCCUUGCCUUCUCACCUGACUUUCAGCUUUUUAACAGUCUGUGUUGUUUUACUUCAGAGAACCUCCCAGAAUUGGAGCUGUUGGUCUGUACACUCUUUCAACCAUCUCAUUGGAAAAUAAUUUAACCUGGUUACUACUGUGGGCCCAUUCACAUAGUAGUGGUCAAGGUCCCUGAUCAAUGUUUGAAUUCAUCCUUCAUACACGCAAAAAAAGAGACUCUUUCCAGGGCAAUCUGAACAUAUGGCUCCAUACCAAUUGCACACUAAUUUUAUUUAAAAGGAACUGAUACUAUGUUCGAGGGUUUUCUUUUCAUAAUUUGGGUUAGAUUUUAAAUUUUUAACCCUAAAAUUUUAUUUACCAAAUCAAAAGUCUUUUCUAUAUAUACAUACCUUUCUAUUAUAUCUUCUAAAUAAAGGGAGGGAAAAGAAGUCCCUGAUUGACUACAGAUUAAAAAAAAGUUAUUCUAGAAAAUGGCUUGCAUACCACCUCAGAAGGCUCAGGUUUUUCUUCAUCAAACAGAACAUGAGGUAACCGAAUCACAAACUGAUGGCAACUCUACCUCAGGAAUGUACAUAUAAAUGAUGACUGAGGUGUAGUGUUUACUAAUAUUAAAAAUGUACUGUUACACAGUACACAUGUGAAACAAGGAAUAUCCAGUUACAAACAUUUGCUGAAGUUUUUUAAGGAGGGGAAGAGAAUUUUCAAUGCUUAGAAAAUACAGCAAAGAGAGUCAACUCCAGAAACUACAGAUUAGAUAAGCAAUUAUCUGAACGCUUACUACCAACUAUGAUUCAAAUGAAAGGCAUUCUGCCAUUUUAAGAUAACAAACUGUCACUGCAAAUAGCAGGCAGUCUGCUAACAUUUUGAAGAUGGGUCAUUGCCCUAAGAGGUCAAGUAUUUCACUGUGGUAGUUAAAGCAAUUACAACCCAUAGCCCUUUAGGCACUGAGUGAGGAAGCAUCACCAGUACAUAUGAAGUUGGGGGCACUGGGGAUGUCUCACCUCAGUACAUUUGAAAACUAAGUCCCACCACUAAGUCCUGUAUUGCCACCAAAUUAUUUCUCUCUUUGCUUUCCAUCCCCAAAUCCCCUAACUUUAUUACACACAGGUGCAUGGCUGUCAUCGCUUCAACACAGAUCGGUGGCAGAAUGAUGGUUCCUCUCAUCCCACAUGCAUGGUGAGUGCUAGGACAAAAAAGGCAAGCCAGAUUGAGAAUCUAAACUAACACAAAGAAUCAAGGCAAAAAAGCAAGUUUCACAGGCAACAUUUACUUGUGCACC
rnacentral:lncRNA from 1 species